CCACAUCCCAAGUACAAGCAACAACUGAGAUCAGGGCUCACAGAAGAGCCUAAACGGGACUGUAGCAUACAUCAGGCAGGCGUUGGCUGAACGGAACACCGGCUACUAAAGAUGAGUUAAUAGCCAUAUUUCUCAUAAUGUCUUCACCAGUGACUGUAGGAAACCGAUUGCUUCAAUUUGUUUAAGUUUAAUUCCACGUUAUAUUUGCAGCAUUGUACCUCAUGAUAGCUACAGUGGUAACCACAACCUAAUAACACAUGCU